rnacentral:lncRNA from 1 species
GACCUGCUCCCUGAUGAUCAGAGUCUCGUGAGAGAAAACUGGCAAAGGGUGGUGAUGCAGACCCUGCUCCUUGCUGAUAAGAGGUGGGGGCCAGCUUUCCUACAGUGAAGGCUUGUCUGGGGGAUGAGAUGGAAAUGCCUUGCUGCAAGAUGAACAUGAAACAUGAAAACAAACGUCCAGCACCAGGCAGCAACUCCGGAACAGUCACUUCUUCUCCUUUGUUUUGGUUUCCAAGGAAAUCUCUUGAUGUGUGAAGGUGGAGACAAGGACUUCAAGGGUGAAUCCUCUCAGAGAAAUCCACAUUGCAACAGCAGUUUCUUGAAGUGGUUGGUGCUCUAAACCAAGAACAAAAAUGUUAAUAUAAGGUGAGAAUUUGGGAGAAGGGAAGCUCAGUUCCUUGUAAAGCUUGUCCUGUUCUUCUUUUGUCUAUUUCUUGUCAUAUUAUGGUGUCCAGGAAUUUAUGGAGCUCUGAAUAUCUUGGUUACAAUUGGCUUUUAAUUAUUUACUUGUAAUGGCUGGGGGACACCAUAACAUGGACAAUACACAAGCUUUAAAUUAACCCUGACCUGCAAUUUCAAACUUUUACAACAGGCCUUUAAGCGGAGUCUUACUAAAGCAGGAGAGGGGCUGGCCAGGCUCAUCUCUUCUCUCCCACCCAACUGCUGGGGCAGUGAUGACAGCUGGUGCCACAACCAAGGCCACAGACACAGAAGAGGGAAAAAUCUGGUUAACCCACCCCCAGACAAAGGUGGGUUCAACAAACAGCUUCACUUGUGUUGAACAUUUGCAUUGUACAGCAGCUCAAUGCAGCAGCAGAACCAUGAGCUGAAAUUUAAAAAUGAGAAAACUGAAGCAACAUGCCUCAGCCAUGGUGA